CCUACGGGUGGCAGCAGUGGGGAAUAUUGGACAAUGGGGGAAACCCUGAUCCAGCGACGCCGCGUGAGUGAAGAAGUAUUUCGGUACGUAAAGCUCUAUCAGCAGGAAAGAAAAUGACGGUACCUGAAUAAGAAGCUACGGCUAACUACGUGCCAGCAGCCGCGGUAAUACGUAGGGGGCAACGGUUAUCCGGAUGUACUGGGUGUAAGGGGAGCGUAGACGGCAGCGCAGGCCGGGAGUGAAAUGCCGGGGUCAAAGCCCGGAAGUGCUCUGGAAACUGUGAAGCUGGAGUGCAGGAGAGGUAGGCGGAAUGCCUGGUGUAGCGGUGAAAUGCGUAGAUAUCAGGCGGAACACCGGCGGCGAAGGCGGCUUAC
rnacentral:rRNA from 1 species